UUUUACAAUGGAGAGUUUGAUCCUGGCUCAGGAUGAACGCUAGCGGCAGGCCUAAUACAUGCAAGUCGAGGG
rnacentral:rRNA from 1 species